AACGUAGGAGACAAACGUUAUCCGGAGUUACUGGGCGUAAAGGGCGUGUAGGUGGUUUUGUAAGUCUGGCGUGAAAUUUUUCGGCUUAACCGGGAAAGGUCGUCGGAUACUGCAAGGCUAGAGGACGGUAGAGGCGUGUGGAGUUCCGGGUGUAGUGGUGAAAUGCGUAGAGAUCCGGAGGAACACCAGUGGCGAAGGCGACACGCUGGGCCGUACCUGACACUGAUGCGCGACAGCAUGGGGAGCAAACAGG
rnacentral:rRNA from 1 species